rnacentral:lncRNA from 1 species
CAGCAUCAAAUCGACCCCAAAAAUCUGCCCCCAAAAGCAUCAAAACGACCCCCAAAACAGCCUCAAAAUGACCCCAAAAUAAGUCCUAAAAUGCAUAAAAAUUACGCCAAAAUCAGCCCCCAAAAGACCCCCAAACCAGCAUCGAAACCACCCCAAAACCAGCCCUAAAAAGCAUCAAAACGACCCCAAAAACCACCCGAAAAUCAGCAUCAAAACGACCCGAAAACCAGCCCGAAAUGCAUCAAAACCACCCCAAAAACAACCUCAAAACGACCCCAAAAAGCAUCAAAAUGACCCCAAAAUCAACCCAAAAACCAUCAAAUUGACUCAAAAACCAGCCCCCAAACCAGCCCCCAAAAGACCCCCAAAUCAGCCCCCAAACCAUCAAAACGACCCCAAAACCAGCCUCAAAAGCAUCAAAAUGACCCCAAAAUCAGCCCCCCAAAAAAGCCCAAACCAGACCAAAAAGCAUCAAAUUGACCCCAAAACAGCCUCAAAAUGACCCCAAAACCAGCCCGAAAAGCAUCAAAACCACCCACAAAAUCAGCCUCAAAAAGCAUCAAAUUGACCCCAAAACCAGCCCCCAGAACAGCCCCCCAAAAGACCCCCAAACCAGCCCAAAAACAGCACCAAAAUGACCCCAAAACCAGCAUCAAAACGACCGCAAAUCCAGCCCAAAAAUGACCCCAAAAAUCAGCCCCCAAAAGAACCCCAAACCAGCCCAAAAACAGCAUCAAAACAACCCCAAAACCAGCCCCCAGAAGCAUCAAAUUGUCCCCAAAAUCAGCCCCCAAAACAGCCCCCAAAAGACCCCCAAACCAGCCCCAAAAAGCAUCAAAACGACCCCAAAAUCAGCCCCAAAAAGACCCCAAAAAAGCAUGAAAUGACCCCAAUAUCAGCCCUAAAACAGCAUCAAAACGACUCCAAAACUGGCCCCCAAAAGACCCAAAACCAGCCCCAAAACAGCACCAAGAUGACCCCCAAACCAGCCCAAAAUGCAUCAAAAUGACCCCAAAAUCAGCCCCAAGAACAGCCCCCAAAAGACCCCAAAACAGCAUCAAAAGGACCCCAAAAUCAGCUCCCCAAAGACCUCAAAACCAGCCCUAAAAAGCAUCAAACUGACCCCAAAAAGACCCCAAAAACAGCAUCAAAACCAGCCCAACAACAGCAUCAAAAUGGCCCCAAAAAAACCCCAAAAAGCAUCAAAUCGACCCCAAAACAGCAUCAAAACCAGCCCCAAAAAGCAUCAAAUUGACCGCCCAAAACCAGCCCUCCAAAAGACCCCCAAACCAACCUCAAACCAGCAAUCAAAGACCCAAAAAUCAGCCCCAAAAGCACUCAAAACCGACCCAAAACCAGCCCCCAACAAAGCAUCAAACGACCCCAAAACCAGGGCCCGGAACGGAGGACAUCAGAAACACCCCAAAUCAAGCCCCGAAAAAGCAUCAAAAUGACCCAAAACCAGGCUCCAAAACAGCAUCAAAUUGACCCCUAAAUCAGCCCCAAAAAGCAUCAAAUCUACACCAAAAUCAGC